rfam:Oryza barthii chromosome 1, whole genome shotgun sequence.
AAAAAGACAAACUUUAGGUUCCCGUGCUAACUUUUGACUGUCCGUCUUAUAUGAAAAACUUUUAUAAUUAGUAUUUUCAUUGUUGUUAGAUAAUAAAACAUGAUUAAUAUUUUAUGCGUAACUUAUCUUUUUAAUUUUUUUCAUAAUUUUUUUAAAUAAGACGGAUGGUGACACGGAAAUCAGGGUUUAUCUUUUU